AAACCUGGAGCUUUGUCUUCUAGAACUUUGGAAUACAUUGUUAAUGUUCUGAUAGAAAUUUGUAUCUUAUAAGAACAGUUUGUAAUGUUUUAUGAGAGCUGAAGAUGGCAAUAGCUGAAAGUGCUCCUCUUGUGAUUAAAAAAUUAUAAUGUUUGAUUGUGAGUAAAUAGGAUGUAAAUAGGACUGCUUUAUAGUGCUGGAAGUUAAUAUAACACUUAAGUAUACUCCGAUAAAAAAAGCAGUGUUGUUGUAAUUUUUUUGAUUUCAUAUCUCAUUCCUCCAAUAAAAAAAGCAGUGUUCUUGUAAUUUCUUUGAUUUGCUAAUAGCUGAGCCAGCUAUACAAGCAUGCAGUAUUUGGAAGAUUUAGAAAGAAUUUCUAUCAGGUUAGUCAAAGCAAAAGAGACUUAUGAGUUCCUCAAGCAAUAUAAGAUGAAUGGCAUUCUACCAAGAUCCAUUCAUAAUAUUAGGUUAUCUAUCAAAUCUAAGAAAAUAUUAUCUAAUACUAAAAGAAUAUGCCUUAAAACGGCAUUAUCUGAUGCUAAAAGAAGGAUGUAUAACUUGAACCAAGCAAAACAAGAGCUGACAUCAGAAAUAGUCCCUCAACAUCCCUAACUGGAAACUAGUGGUAGAAGAAUUAGAAAUAAAACAGAGCAGAAGUAGCCUUAAGACCUAAAUAUAUAAAGAUGAGGUGGUUGCUAAAGAACCAGUCAGAUAAAAUGUAUACCGCAAAAGCAAUGCUUCCACUUAAAGAUGUAGCGAUAAUAGGAGGAGACAUAUCUUUACCACAGGUCCUUAUAGACUUACUUUUGGAAGGCCCAUCUGAAAUAUUCUGUUGUUAUAUUAAGAAAUUUUUUAUUUCUUAAUAUAUCUAAUUUACAUCUGAAACAUCUUUUUAUAAAAAAUUUAAAUCUAUGAAAAUAAACUUCCAUAAUAUUAUAUGCUCAUUGGUUAACUGCCAGUUCUUUAUAUUAAGUACUGCUAAGAUUUACCGUAGGAAACUCAGUUCCCACUGUCUUUAAUAUUUAUACAAUUUGUAACAUCUGUUCCUAAUUGUUGAAUCUAAAAGUUGUGAAACUAAAUUAUAAAAAAAAU
rnacentral:lncRNA from 1 species